GCAGGGAAUCUUGCGCAAUGGGCGAAAGCCUGACGCAGCGACACCGCGUGGGGGAAGAAGGCCCCAGGGUUGUAAACCCCUUUUCUCGGGGAAGAGAACGGACGGUACCCGAGGAAUAAGGAUCGGCUAACUACGUGCCAGCAGCCGCGGUAACACGUAGGAUUCGAGCGUUGUCCGGAUUUACUGGGCGUAAAGGGCGCGUAGGUGGCAUGUUAAGUCCCGUGUGAAAUCUCCCGGCUCAACUGGGAGGGGUCAUGGGAAACUAACAAGCUUGAGGGCAGUAGAGGAAAGCGGAAUUCCCGGAGUAGUGGUGAAAUGCGUAGAUACCGGGAGGAACACCAGAGGCGAAAGCGGCUUUCUGGGCUGUCCCUGACACUGAGGCGCGAAAGCAUGGGGAGCAAACCGG
rnacentral:rRNA from 1 species